rnacentral:tRNA from 1 species
GUGUUGGUAGUUUAACUGGAAGAACACCUGGCAACCACUCAGGAAGUGCGAGUUCAAACCUUGCGCAACACU